GAGUUUGAUCUUGGCUCAGAUUGAACGCUGGCGGAAUGCUUUACACAUGCAAGUCGAGCGGCAGCGCGGGGCAACCUGGCGGCGAGCGGCGAACGGGUGAGUAAUGCAUCGGAACAUGUCCAUGUCGUGGGGGAUAGCCCGGCGAAAGCCGGAUUAAUACCGCAUACGCCCGAGAGGGGAAAGUGGGGGACCGCAAGGCCUCACGCGAUUGGGUUGGCCGAUGUCCGAUUAGCUAGUUGGCGGGGUAAAGGCCCACCAAGGCGAUGAUCGGUAGCUGGUCUGAGAGGAUGAUCAGCCACACUGGGACUGAGACACGGCCCAGACUCCUACGGGAGGCAGCAGUGGGGAAUUUUGGACAAUGGGGGAAACCCUGAUCCAGCCAUUCCGCGUGAGUGAAGAAGGCCUUC
rnacentral:rRNA from 1 species